rnacentral:rRNA from 1 species
GAUGAACGCUGGCGGCGUGCCUAAUACAUGCAAGUCGAGCGAACGGACGAGAAGCUUGCUUCUCUGAUGUUAGCGGCGGACGGGUGAGUAACACGUGGAUAACCUACCUAUAAGACUGGGAUAACUUCGGGAAACCGGAGCUAAUACCGGAUGAUAUUUUGAACCGCAUGGUUCAAAAGUGAAAGACGGUCUUGCUGUCACUUAUAGAUGGAUCCGCGCUGCAUUAGCUAGUUGGUAAGGUAACGGCUUACCAAGGCAACGAUGCAUAGCCGACCUGAGAGGGUGAUCGGCCACACUGGAACUGAGACACGGUCCAGACUCCUACGGGAGGCAGCAGUAGGGAAUCUUCCGCAAUGGGCGAAAGCCUGACGGAGCGACGCCGCGUGAGUGAUGAAGGUCUUCGGAUCGUAAAACUCUGUUAUUAGGGAAGAACAUAUGUGUAAGUAACUGCGCACAUCUUGACGGUACCUAAUCAGGAAGCCACGGCUAACUACGUG